AGAGUUUGAUCCUGGCUCAGGAUGAACGCUGGCGGCGUGCUUAACACAUGCAAGUCGAACGAACCUUCGGGUUAGUGGCGGACGGGUGAGUAACGCGUGAGAAUCUGCCCUCAGGAGGGGGAUAACGGUUGGAAACGACCGCUAAUACCCCAUAUGCCUACUGGUGAAAUGAAUUUCGCCUGAGGAUGAGCUCGCGUCUGAUUAGCUAGUUGGUGAGGUAAUGGCUCACCAAGGCUUCGAUCAGUAGCUGGUCUGAGAGGAUGAUCAGCCACACUGGGACUGAGACACGGCCCAGACUCCUACGGGAGGCAGCAGUGGGGAAUUUUCCGCAAUGGGCGAAAGCCUGACGGAGCAACGCCGCGUGAGGGACGAAGGCCUCUGGGCUGUAAACCUCUUUUCUCAAGGAAGAAGAUAUGACGGUACUUGAGGAAUAAGCCACGGCUAAUUCCGUGCCAGCAGCCGCGGUAAUACGGGAGUGGCAAGCGUUAUCCGGAAUUAUUGGGCGUAAAGCGUCCGCAGGCGGCUUUUCAAGUCUGCUGUUAAAGCGUGGAGCUUAACUCCAUCAUGGCAGUGGAAACUGAAAGGCUUGAGUAUGGUAGGGGCAGAGGGAAUUCCCGGUGU
rnacentral:rRNA from 1 species